AUGUUAUUCAUACUCGCCUUGGACCCGUUGCAGCGGUUGUUUCAGAGGGAUACCGAGGAAAGCAUCCUCUCCCCCAUUCCGUUGAGGGCUGCCCACCUUCGCACAAGUUUCUAUGCGGAUGAUGCUGCACUUUUUGUGAACCCUUGUUGUGAUGAGAUUGCUACCGUGAAGCGGAUUCUCUCGACGUUUGGAGAGAUCUCCGGGUUAAAGAUUAAUGAAGCCAAAUGUGUUAUCUACCCAAUACAGUGUAAUGGCCUGAAUAUCUUUGGGUUCGUACAACAGUUUGGUGGGCCGGGAGGCUCCUUUCCAUGCACUUAUUUCGGCCUUCCCCUCUCCACUAGCAAACUUCGACGGAUUGACCUUCAACCUUACUUGGAUAAAGGGGCUGCUACGCUAAGAGCUUGGAAAGGAAGGCUUUUGCAACGAACCGGGAGGCUGGCUCUCAUCAAUUCGGUGGUCACCAGCACGGUGACCUUCUUUCUGAUGAUCUUUGCACCUUACAAGUGGUUCAUAAAAAAAUUCGACAAACUAAGAAGAAACUUUCUGUGGAAUGCCGACGAGGAAGCUCAUGGGGGCAAAUGUUUGGUGAACUGGAAGCGAAUCUGCGCUCCC
rnacentral:rRNA from 1 species